CAGGCAUUGAGAAUACAUGGCCCCAGCCUUCAAGGAAUUUUCUGCUUUUUGAUGAGCCAGGUAUCUUAAGAGUGACAAUGCAGUAAAUAGAAUAAACUGCUAUAAAGGAUAUCUAUACAAAUAGCAGCUCAUUUAUUCCCUUAACUAAUAGAAUCUGAUCCACCCAGUAGGAUCAGGCCCCCUGUUAAGCAUUGGGAAUGUAACUACGGGCAAGGAGAGCUUGGAGCAAGCUCAGAAGCCAGCCAGCCAGCCGGGGAGGGACUGGAUACAGAGAGGAGAGUGCCCUGCUGGGGAAGAACACAGAUCUGUGGGACGAGCACAGGGGCCACACCUCUUGUUGGGAGCAGAGGAGAGCGUGGGCUGGGGAAGACGUAAAGGCGCUUCCUGAAAUCCUAGUGCAAUUCCUCCAGCACUGCCCACGUCUGGAGGGGCUGAGGACACUGAGAGAUACAGACAUUGCCUAGUAGAUUUAUCACUGGUUCAUGAUGGAGAAAAUGGAUGAGUGAGCAUGUCCGCUAAACUACAAUCCAAGAAAGCUUCUGUUUGCAUACUCUAAUCAGGCCAUAGAUAAAUGACUAUCUUGUUAACAGGGAGCCCAUGAUACACACACAGACAGAGCCCGAAAAGCCAUUUAUUAGGAGGGGGAGGACAGAGAACAGGCCUGGGUGUCUGGUACCAGCAGCCCUGCCCAGUCCCCUGUUGGCUCAGAUCCAGGUGCUGAUAGCCUGAGCCUGGGCCUAUGAUGAAGUAGGCAUGGCAGAGUUCACUCACAGCCAGCCACGGGGAGAUGGGAUAAGAGGGUUACUCCAACAACCCCAGGCAGGCAGACAAGGGUCAGAAGGCAGCCAGGGCAAAAGGUUCCCUGGACUGGAAUGCUUGGUUUUGUUCAGAGCCAUUGGUAUCUUCCGUAUCCUUCCCUAUGCUGGGCAGUGUUCCUCGCUGACAAAGGGGAUGGUUACUUUUUUUUUUCUUUUUUUUUGCGGGGGGGCGGGGCAUGGUGGUUGGUUCCACCAUGUGACAUGCAAGAUCUUCCCCAACCAGGGAUGGAAGCAUGGAGUCGUAACAACUGGGCCACCAGGGAAAUCCUAACAGUUCCUGUGAAUGAUGCCGGAGUUUUUUGGCUUGAAUUCUGUGGCCUAUUCACUCCUAUCUCUUCCUUACAAAUGAAUGGAGAUCUGCAUCUCAAUAAGUUCCAUUCCCAUUCAUCUUCUUCAGCCCCAAGCUACACCUUUGCAGUCUCAUCUGUGUUUCCCUGUAUAUAUAGAUGCUGGAUGCUUUUCAAAGCUUGA
rnacentral:lncRNA from 1 species